rnacentral:rRNA from 1 species
UACGUAGGGUGCGAGCGUUGUCCGGAAUUAUUGGGCGUAAAGAGCUCGUAGGCGGUCUGUCGCGUCUGCUGUGAAAACCCGAGGCUCAACCUCGGGCCUGCAGUGGGUACGGGCAGACUAGAGUGCGGUAGGGGAGAUCGGAAUUCCUGGUGUAGCGGUGAAAUGCGCAGAUAUCAGGAGGAACACCGGUGGCGAAGGCGGAUCUCUGGGCCGUAACUGACGCUGAGGAGCGAAAGCAUGGGUAGCGAACAGG